rnacentral:rRNA from 1 species
GAAAGAAACUAACAAGGAUUCCCCCAGUAACGGCGAGUGAAGCGGGAAGAGCUCAAGCUUAAAAUCUCCAUGUUUACAUGGCGAAUUGUAGUCUAUUGAGGCUGUUGUCAGCAUAGCGAUCUGGGAAAAGUCCCUUGGAAAAGGGCAGCACAGAGGGUGAUACUCCCGUCUUUGCUCAGAUUGUCUGUGUGUACGAUACGCUUUCUUUGAGUCGAGUUGUUUGGGAAUACAGCUCAAAGUAGGUGGUAAAUUCCAUCUAAAGCUAAAUAUUGGUGCGAGACCGAUAGCGAACAAGUACCGUGAGGGAAAGAUGAAAAGAACUUUGAAAAGAGAGUUAAAGAGUACCUGAAACUGUUGAAAGGGAACCGUAUCGUUUCCAGUGUUGUAUCCUGUGCAUAUUUCAUUGGCGGAGUAAUUUGCUGGUGCCCUGUGCAUGGGUGUGACGUCAGAGUCAGUUUGUAUGCUGCGGGAGAUGGUUAGGGAGAAGGUGCGUCACUUCGGUGAAAGUUAUAGCUCUCUAACUAGUUGCCGUGGUUGAGACUGAGGUGCCUACAACAUGCCUUGGGGUUCCGUGCUGCCUCGUUUUGGUGACUGCUUGGAUAGCUUGCUAUGUCUGUGGUUAAUCANGGCGAUUGGUGGUGCGGAAAACCUCUGCUGUUCGGGACUCUGGCGAAAUGGACGAUCGAC